rnacentral:rRNA from 1 species
UACGAACUGUGCAAACGUUAUUCGGAAUCACUGGGCUUAAAGGGUGCGUAGGCGGCCAGCUAAGCAGGGUGUGAAAGCCCCCGGCUCAACCGGGGAAUAGCGCCCUGAACUAGCGGGCUGGAGUGAGAUAGGGGUGUGCGGAACUUCCAGUGGAGCGGUGAAAUGUGUUGAUAUUGGAAGGAACGCCGGUGGCGAAAGCGGCACACUGGGUCUCAACUGACGCUGAGGCACGAAAGCGUGGGGAGCGAACGGG